UACGUAGGGGGCAAGCGUUGUCCGGAUUUAUUGGGCGUAAAGAGCGUGUAGGCGGCCAGAUAGGUCCGUUGUGAAAACUCGGGGCUUAACCCCGAGCCUGCAGUGGAUACGGGCAGACUAGAGGUAGGUAGGGGAGAAUGGAAUUCCCGGUGUAGCGGUGAAAUGCGCAGAUAUCGGGAGGAACACCGGUGGCGAAGGCGGUUCUCUGGGCCUUACCUGACGCUGAGGAGCGAAAGCGUGGGGAGCGAACAGG
rnacentral:rRNA from 1 species